rnacentral:tRNA from 1 species
CCCCAGUGGCUCAGUGGUAAAGAAUUUGUCUGCAAUACAGGAGACUCAGGUUCAAUCCCUGGGUUGGGGA